rnacentral:rRNA from 1 species
AGAGUUUGAUCAUGGCUCAGCCUGAACGCUGGCGGCGUGGCUAAGACAUGCAAGUCGCACGGGCCCGCAAGGGUCAGUGGCGGACGGGUGAGUAAUGAAUCGCUAAUGUACCCCUUAGUCUGGGAUAGCCGGCCGAAAGGCCGGGUAAUACCAGAUGAUAUAACCUGAUGGCAUCAUCGGGUUCUCAAAGGGUCACCGCUGAGGGAGCAGGCGAUUUCGUAUCAGGUAGUUGGUGAGGUAACGGCUCACCAAGCCGACGACGCGUAGCCGGACUGAGAGGUUGGCCGGCCACAUUGGGACUGAGACACCGCCCAGACUCCUACGGGGGGCUGCAGUAACGAAUCUUCCGCAAUGCACGAAAGUGUGACGGAGCGACGCCGCGUGUAGGACGAAGCCCUUCGGGGUGUAAACUACUGUCAGGGGAAAGAAAGUUCUGAUCUACCCCAGAUGAAGUGGCGGCUAACUCUGUGCCAGCCGCCGCGGUAAUUC